AUGGCCGGUGGUACCAGGAACAGGAGGCAUCCCAAGGCCGCAGACCACGCCGUCGCCGAAGCUGUUGAAGCCCCCCUCGGUGGCCGCUCGCCGGUAGCCGACCCAGAUGGGGUUUCACCGGCAGCCAAGGGCACAGAACUGCCGGUGCCGGAGAAGAAGGUCGAUGCGGAGGCGGAGGCGAAGAAGCUGAAGGAGCUCAACGCCAUGCUCCUCAAGGAGGUCAUGCCGCGGCGUGGGCAGGUGGCCACGCUCAGCGCGCGCGUCGAGGAGCUCUCCAUCGCCUCGGUGACCGAGGACGAGCUGGACGCGGAGAAACCGCUCGACCAAGCCGAUGAGACGGAGGUCGCUCAGGAGGCCGAGGAUGUGGCCGCCACGGUCGUCAAACCGGGGGCGGAGAAGAAAGUGGUGACGAAGAAGAAGGCCCCGACCAGCUCAGUCCAGGCACGCAAGGCGGCGGAGGCAGAGAAGAUCUCCACGGCGGCGGCGAAUGCGUCGGCUGAUGAGCAAGCCGUCAUGGCGGGCCCAGCGCCUGGAGGGCGUCCGAGGAGGAACAGGAAGGCUAACUCCAUGUAUCCUUCGGAUACUUGGGCCCGCUAG
rnacentral:rRNA from 1 species